GUGACACUCCUAAGCCAUUGUGAUGCUCCUAGCCACUCCAACAGCCAUACUGUUUCCUCAGGAAAACCCAAAUAAACAGCUGCAGUUCGCAGAGAACGAUGAUGGAAAAGCAGAAACAGUCUCGUCCAAACCAAAGCUUUGAAGGAAGUGAAAUGUGAGAAAAAACAGAAACUCAAAAUCCAUGAGAAGACUCAGGCCAGCCAAGGCAUUAUACAAAAAAGGCAUUCUGUUGUGAUCCUGCCAUGGCACAAAGGCUGACAGCAGGAUCUCACAGGACUGGUUUUGCCAUUUCCAUCUUCUUCUGUGAAACCAUGUCUGCUCCUGUGGUGGCUGGAAGAGAUCUCUGGCUAACAAGUAAUGUGGCAGUUGAAUCAAUGCAAGUGAGUAAUGAUAUCAUGAACAAGGACAUAAAGGCCAAAAGAAAAGUAACCAGAGAUGGUCUUGAAAAGAAGACUCAUGAAGAAGAAUCCCAAAAGCAAAAUGGGUGGGCUGAUUUCCCUGAUGGCAUAGGAGGCAAUCAGACUAAGCCUUAGGGGAGAACAUUGCAGUCAGAGGGUAUGGGAACACAUCAGAAGUAGUGGAGAGAGAAAGAAACUUGAAGGUGAAGUGAGGCAGUGACACGUGGCCAUCAGGCUUUUGGAAACACAGCAAGAAAAGUCUCAGAUUAAAAUACUGGAUCAUGCUGGAGGGUACUCUGUGUAGAAUCAGAGAUGUGUUGGAGGCAAAGACUGGGAUUAAGAAUUCGGUGUUAUCCAGAUCUCAUCUGCUCUGGAACCAUACCGCAUUAUAAUAAUCUCCUCAACUAAUUCUUCAAAAUUAAGGACAUAUGAAACACAGAAGUGUAUCAGCCUGAAAUAAGGAAAGCUGUGAGUAACAUUUCUGAGUGACACUAGGACAAAGCAAAUAGACUGCCAAUGUACAACCACUACACUUUAUCUUUAUUGCUUGCCAAAUGCAUCCCUAUGCGGUGUCAUUAACAGAAGCCAGUCUUAAUAAAUGUCAUUUAUGUAGAGUA